rnacentral:rRNA from 1 species
GACGAACGCUGGCGGCGUGCUUAACACAUGCAAGUCGAACGGUAAGGCCCCUCGGGGUACACGAGUGGCGAACGGGUGAGUAACACGUGGGUGAUCUGCCCUGCACUUCGGGAUAAGCCUGGGAAACUGGGUCUAAUACCGGAUAGGACCACUGCCUGCAUGGGUGGUGGUGGAAAGCUUUUGCGGUGUGGGAUGGGCCCGGGGCCUAUCAGCUUGUUGGUGGGGUGAUGGCCUCCCAAGGCGACGACGGGUAGCCGGCCUGAGAGGGUGACCGGCCACACUGGGACUGAGAUACGGCCCAGACUCCUACGGGAGGCAGCAGUGGGGAAUAUUGCACAAUGGGCGCAAGCCUGAUGCAGCGACGCCGCGUGAGGGAUGACGGCCUUCGGGUUGUAAACCUCUUUCAGCACCGACGAAGCGCAAGUGACGGUAGGUGCAGAAGAAGGACCGGCCAACUACGUGCCAGCCGCCGUAAAAC